rnacentral:misc_RNA from 1 species
AGCAGCCGCGGUAAUUCCAGCUCCAAUAGCGUAUAUUAAAGUUGUUGCAGUUAAAAGCUCGUAGUUGAAUUUCGGGGUCAAUAAGUUGGUCAUGCCAAUGGUAUGCACUGGCUUUAUUGAUUCCUACCUCUUGACGAACUGUGAUGCCAUUAAUUUGGUGUUGAAAGGAAUCAGGACUGUUACCUUGAAAAAUUAGAGUGUUUAAAGCAAGCUUACGCUUGAAUACAUUAGCAUGGAAUAAUGAAAUAGGACGUUUGAUCCUAUUUUGUUGGUUUCUAGGAUCGACGUAAUGAUUAAUAGGGAUAGUUGGGGGCAUUAGUAUUCAAUUGUCAGAGGUGAAAUUCUUGGAUUUAUUGAAGACUAACUACUGCGAAAGCAUUUGCCAAGGAUGUUUUCAUUGAUCAAGAACGAAAGUUAGGGGAUCGAAGACGAUCAGAUACCGUCGUAGUCUUAACCAUAAACUAUGCCGACUAGGGAUCGGAUGAUGUUAAUUUUUAAUGACUCAUUC